rnacentral:rRNA from 1 species
AUAUUUGAUGCGAAAUGAAUUAGAAUUGUUUGGAAAGACAAACCAUAGAGGGUGAUAGUCCCGUAUUGUUAAGUUUUGUUAUUGAUAGUAGUAUCCUGAGUAGCGCGGGGCACGUGAAACCCUGUGUGAAUCUGGCGGGACCAUCCGCUAAGGCUAAAUACUCCUGAGAGACCGAUAGUGAACUAGUACCGUGAGGGAAAGGUGAAAAGAACCCUGAAUAAGGGAGUGAAAAAGAACCUGAAACCAUACGCUUACAAGCGGUCGGAGCCCUUUAGUGGGGUGACGGCGUGCCUUUUGCAUAAUGAGCCUACGAGUUACUUUUACUAGCAAGGUUAAGGGCUUCAGGUCCGGAGCCGUAGCGAAAGCGAGUCUGAAUAGGGCGUUAUAGUUAGUAGUAGUAGACGCGAAACCGUGUGAUCUACCCAUGGGCAGGUUGAAGCUGUGGUAACACAUAGUGGAGGACCGAACCCGUUGACGUUGAAAAGUCUUGGGAUGACCUGUGGGUAGGGGUGAAAGGCCAAUCAAACUCGGAAAUAGCUCGUACUCCCCGAAAUGCAUUUAGGUGCAGCGUUGAUUUAGUUUUAUAGAGGUAGAGCUACUGAUUGGAUGCGGGGGCUUCACCGCCUACCAAUUCCUGACAAACUCCGAAUGCUAUAAAAUGAUGAUCAGCAGUGAGGGCAUGGGUGCUAAGGUCCAUGUCCGAGAGGGAAAGAACCCAGACCAUCAGCUAAGGUCCCCAAAUGUAUGCUAAGUUGAAAAAACGCGGUUUGAUUGCUUAGACAGCUAGGAUGUUGGCUUGGAAGCAGCCAUUCAUUUAAAGAGUGCGUAACAGCUCACUAGUCGAGCGAUCGAGCAUGGAUAAUAAUCGGGCAUAAGUAUACUACCGAAGCUAUGGACUUAUAAAGUGGUAGGGGAGCAUUCUAUGGGCGUUGAAGGUGUACUGCGAGGUAUGCUGGAGCGUAUAGAAAAGAAAAUGUAGGCAUAAGUAACGAUAAUGCGG